rnacentral:rRNA from 1 species
AGAGUUUGAUCCUGGCUCAGAUUGAACGCUAGCGGGAUGCUUUACACAUGCAAGUCGAACGGCAGCGCGAGAGAACUUGCUCUCUUGGCGGCGAGUGGCGGACGGGUGAGUAAUAUAUCGGAACGUGCCCAGUAGCGGGGGAUAACAACUCGAAAGAGUNGCUAAUACCGCAUACGCCCAACGGGGGAAAGGGCGGGAUCGCAAGACCUCUAACUAUUGGAGCUGCCGAUAUCGGAUUAGCUAGUUGGUGGGCUAAAGGCUCACCACGGCAACGAUCCGUAGCUNGUUUGAGAGGACCACCAGCCANACUGGGACUCAGACACGGCCCAGACUCGUACGGGAGGCAGCAGUGGGNNAUUUUGGUCAAUGGGGGAAACCCUNAUGCAGCCAUCCCGCGUAUAUGAUGAAGGCCUUCGGCUUGUAAAGUACUUUUGGCAGAGAAGAAAAGGUAUCUCCUAAUACGAGAUNCUGCUGACGGUAUCUGCAGAAUAAGCACCGGCUAACUNCCUGCCAGCNGCCNCGGNNAUACGUAGGGUGCNAGCG